rnacentral:rRNA from 1 species
UGCAGUCGAACGAUGAUGCCCAGCUUGCUGGGCGGAUUAGUGGCGAACGGGUGAGUAAUACGUGAGUAACCUGCCCUUGACUCUGGGAUAAGCCUGGGAAACUGGGUCUAAUACUGGAUACUACCUCUUACCGCAUGGUGGGUGGUGGAAAGGGUUUUACUGGUUUUGGAUGGGCUCACGGCCUAUCAGCUUGUUGGUGGGGUAAUGGCUCACCAAGGCGACGACGGGUAGCCGGCCUGAGAGGGUGACCGGCCACACUGGGACUGAGACACGGCCCAGACUCCUACGGGAGGCAGCAGUGGGGAAUAUUGCACAAUGGGCGGAAGCCUGAUGCAGCGACGCCGCGUGAGGGAUGACGGCCUUCGGGUUGUAAACCUCUUUCAGUAGGGAAGAAGCGAGAGUGACGGUACCUGCAGAAGAAGCGCCGGCUAACUACGUGCCAGCAGCCGCGGUAAUACGUAGGGCGCAAGCGUUGUCCGGAAUUAUUGGGCGUAAAGAGCUCGUAGGCGGUUUGUCGCGUCUGCUGUGAAAGCCCGGGGCUCAACCCCGGGUCUGCAGUGGGUACGGGCAGACUAGAGUGCAGUAGGGGAGACUGGAAUUCCUGGUGUAGCGGUGAAAUGCGCAGAUAUCAGGAGGAACACCGAUGGCGAAGGCAGGUCUCUGGGCUGUUACUGACGCUGAGGAGCGAAAGCAUG